AUAGAUUCUUGCACCGAGGAUCUCACUUCCGCUCUCAGUACAAAACGCUCAUUGACGGUGCUGGACCUGGGGCAAAACUCCUUCACAGACCGAUCUGUCCCCGCCCUCUGCCGCCUCCUACUGACUCUCCCGUGUCUGGAACUGAUAGCGCUGCGGGAGAAUCAGUUCAGUUCAGGUGGAGUGAAUCAGCUGAAGUCACUUCGGGGAAUCAGACCCGGACUGAGUGUGUCCCUGUGAACAUCUCGCUGUCGGAACAUCACCGGCCUCGGGAUCGGAACACUUCUGGCCGACGACCCACCCUCCCCUUUAAACGGCUGCGUCCUGAAUUUAACAUCGAACGGCUGUACCGGUUCCCAGCUGGAGCUGAGGGGGCUGUGGUAUCAGGGGCGGUCCUGCUGCCCCGUGACUCAGCGGCCCGUCCACUUGGCCCUGGGGACCUGCACGGACAGGAAGGGCCCAGGGUGGGGGUGGUUCUGGGACACCAGUGAUGGUAUUCAGUGUCCGGGGUGGGGCUCAGUCUGGGACACCAGUGAUGGCAUUCAGUGUCCGGGGUGGCGCUCAGUCUGGGACACCAAUAAUGCCAUUCAGUGUCCAGGUUGGGGCUGUCUGGGACACCAGUCAUGAUAUUCAGUGUCCGGGGUGGGGCUCAGUCUGGGACACCUAUGAUGGGAUUCAGUGUCUCGGGGGUGGGGAACUAUCUGGGGAGAGAGCCCUUUUGGCCAGGUUGCUGAGGAUGUUGCAGCUGGAAUUUUGACUCCAGUCCCUGCUGCAGCCUCUGAUACAAAGGUAAAUUGUCAAAUAUCUCAGUAGUUGUCCCUGGGUCUGCAGUGAUCUUCGACGCUGCACUGAAGUGUGAUUGUAUAAUCAGUGGUCACGCUGAUGCAGAGUGACGGUAAUAAAUGGGACUGAUUAUUUAACCUGC